UCGUUCCUACGGGACGCAGCAGUGAGGAAUAUUGGUCAAUGGCCGAGAGGCUGAACCAGCCAAGUCGCGUGAGGGAUGACGGCCCUACGGGUUGUAAACCUCUUUUGUCGGGGAGCAAAGAGAGUCACGUGUGGCUCAUUGAGAGUACCCGAAGAAAAAGCAUCGGCUAACUCCAUGCCAGCAGCCGCGGUAAUACGGAGGAUGCGAGCGUUAUCCGGAUUUAUUGGGUUUAAAGGGAGCGUAGGCCGGCUUUUAAGUCAGCUGUGAAAGUCCGCGGCUCAACCGUGGAAUUGCAGUUGAAACUG
rnacentral:rRNA from 1 species